GGCCGACUAGCUCAGUUGGUUAGAGCGUCGUGCUAAUACCGAACAAUCUCAGUUCCUAUUUACGCGAAGGUCUUGGGUUCGAUCCCCACGUUGGCCA